rnacentral:tRNA from 1 species
AGCAGUGUGGCUCAGUGGAAAGAGCACCGGUUUGGGAGUCAGAGGUCAUGGGUUCUAAUCCCAACUCUACCU